AUGCGCUGCGACCCAGGGAAAACCCCGCAGUGCUGCUGCUGCUUCCCCUCCCCGCCUCCCCACCUGCUGCCUCGUGCCACGGGCUGGCAGCCCCCUGCCCAAUGCCCACCCGCAGGGUGCCUGGUACUGGCCCCAGGCACCCUCGUGUCCCCAAAGUGGGCUCCCUGCUCUGUCCUGCACCCUUCCCGGUGUCAGCACCCACGUCUGCACCGCUGCAGCUGGAUCCCAGAGCCCUGUGUGACCCCCCUGGCUCUCAUCCGCUCCCUGCACGUCCUCCUGUCCCCCUCCCGAGGCCAUGGGGACGUCACGGCACCGCUCAUCCUCCUGUCCCACCCACGGGACGGGGGCCGUGGGCUGGUGAGAGUGACUCAGAGCCGGAGGGGAACUGAGAGAGCUGCCGUGGGGACGCAUCCACCCCUUCCACCCAUCCCGCAUCGAACCCUCUCCCUGCGGAACAGGGGAGAAAGGAGCCCAGGGGCAGGCACCCGGGGGUGCUCAGCCCCACGGACACCCGUGGGGACACCCAGCCGUGGUUCUGUGCCCGGCAGCGGGCAGGGCAGAGCUUGUUUUUGCCCAGUUUUGUGUUUACAGCUUUCGCCAUCCCUCGCCGGUUCCCACGGAGAUGCCCACGUCGCCAUAGCUACCGGCACCGAUAUUCCUGCUCUCGGCAGUAAACAGCCUGCAAAGAAGAUUUCCGUGGUCAAAUACUGGGGGUUGCUACACCCGAGGGGAAUGUUGCAAGGGCCCCCCUCCUGCCCCGCUGCGGGAAACGGCCCCCAUGGGGCAGCGCCGGGCACCGGCUGGGGACGGGCACGGAGCCCCCGAGCGUCCAGCCCCAGGGGGAUGCCCACGUCUGGGUGCCCACCAAGGAGCUCGGUUGGGUUUUUCCCCACUUGUGUGCACUUUUUGGUUGAAAUCUUGCCUGAGGGGCUGGAGACUGGGUGCUGGGACCUGGGGCGGGGAGAUUCAGGGAACAGACCCAUGCUCAGCUUUGGGGUCUGCAAGGUGCGACGGCCGCAGCCUGGCCAGCUCCAUCCUGCGAGAGGUCCGGCUCCACGGGAGAUGCUGUGA
rnacentral:lncRNA from 1 species